GCUAAUCUGCGAAAAGCGUCGGUAAGGUGAUAUGAACCGUUACAGCCGGCGAUGUCCGAAUGGGGAAACCCAGUGCAAUUCGUUGCACUAUCGUUAACUGAAUACAUAGGUUAACGAGGCGAACCGGGGGAACUGAAACAUCUAAGUACCCCGAGGAAAAGAAAUCAACCGAGAUUCCCCCAGUAGCGGCGAGCGAACGGGGAGCAG
rnacentral:rRNA from 1 species